UGCGUAGGCGGGCAGGUAAGUCAGUGGUGAAAUCCCCGAGCUUAACUUGGGAACUGCCGUUGAUACUAUCUGUCUUGAAUACUAUGGAGGUAAGCGGAAUAUGUCAUGUAGCGGUGAAAUGCUUAGAUAUGACAUAGAACACCAAUUGCGAAGGCAGCUUGCUACACAGUUAUUGACGCUGAGGCACGAAAGCGUGGGGAUCAAACAGGAUUAGAUACCCUGGUAGUCCACGCCCUAAACGAUGAUUACUCGACAUCAGCGAUACACUGUUGGUGUCUGAGCGAAAGCAUUAAGUAAUCCACCUGGGAAGUACGACCGCAAGGUUGAA
rnacentral:rRNA from 1 species